GGGUCAGUAGGUUGGUCGUGCCACCGGUACGUACUGGUCUCACUGAUUCCUCCUUCCUGAAGAACCGUAAUGCCAUUAAUUCGGUGUUGCGGGGAAACAGGACUGUUACUUUGAAAAAAUUAGAGUGUUUAAAGCAAGCUAACGCUUGAAUACAUUAGUAUGGAAUAAUGAAAUAGGACGAUCGAUCCUAUUUUGUUGGUUUCUAGGAUUGACGUA
rnacentral:rRNA from 1 species